rnacentral:lncRNA from 10 species
CCUGAGAUCCCUCCGCUUCCGCGCCGGAAACUGGGCUUUGCUUUGGAGUCUCGGGCGGUGGCAGCUCCGAUUCCACAGCCUGAAGACUAUGAGCUCGGAGGGUCCGCGAAGGGCCGCCCGGCCUCGGCCCCCGCCUCCUGCGCGUCGCCUGACAGCAUUACCGUUUCCACAGUGACAGCGUUUCCUCCGGCGGCCCUCCCGCCGCCUCCAGGGCCAUGGCUUCGUCCCGGGCACCCCUUCCGCACGUCACUUCCGGAAGCGACUCGCUCUGACGCCGUCCGCCCUCGUUGCCAUGGAGACGCUUGCGCUUUCCCGGGCCGCACUUCCCACCCGGGUCUUCAGAAGCCCGUGGCCGCUGGGUGAGCCCCUGCGUGAACGCACACGCACGCACACGGCUUCAGGUUGCCCCGCGGCGCCGCGCGCGAUAUCGGCUCGGAUCCCGGGAGGCCGUCCGCCCCUUUUUCAGCGGAUAGCUGAGGCCAGGUAAGUGACCGCGCGAGGACCCGGGAACUCCGUGACGCCCGUCCCGCCUCUGCUGUCCCCGCCGCAAGCGCUGCGCUCUGCACGGCGAGAGGGGCCUCUUGCCCUGUUGAGAGCCGGCGGGCACGGCACUUCUGCGCUUGGAAAAGGGUGGUCCAGCACUGCAGGUCCCACUCCUUGGCCCGGUCAGCGUCCGCCUUUGCUGAACCCCGAAAGGAUUCACCAGGUCCAGGACAGCCCGGCAGUUGCCUCAGGAGCACUUACUGAGCGCCUGUCGUUGACGCCCCCACCUCGAUGGCAGCUCAGGGGUGCCCUCAAGCUUUUGAGGGCAGGUGUCGUGUAUUUAAAUUCUUCACAGUUUAGCGGGCUGGACUCACGGGGGUGCUGCAGACUUGGACGGGGUUUCAUCUGGGUCGGACCUUGCUGGGCAGAAAGCUUCUCCUACCAGACAAAGUACGGCGACCUUGGGGGGUCUUGGUUCUUACCUCGUGUUCCUCAUUGAAUGAGUGUUGGUUCAGUGCUCUCGCUGUGCCAGGUGUUGUGCGAAGUACUGUGAGGGAGAAUAUGUAUUUAUUUGUGGGGAGCCGACUUUAAACCGGUGGUUGGGAAAGGCCUGAGAGGCGAUAUUGAAGACACCUGAAGGGUGAGUGAAAGAGCACGGCGGGUGAGUGGAGCAGCUUUCUCGUGCAGGUCCCGGGGUGGGAAAGAGGUUGGUGUAUUUGAAGCACUGAAAGGCAGCCACUGAAGCUGAAGUGUAGCAGUUUAACCCAUGGUUUUAUAUUCUCCUGGGAGGAUUCAGAAGGGUGUAUGUGUGUAUGUAUAUAUAAUAGCCUGAAUAUAAACGUCAAGGGUGUUAGGUUUUGAAGGGAAGGUGAAGGUUAAAGAAUGACGCACAGUGAGAUUGCCGGCGCGCGGGCGGCUCUACAGCAACACAGGUGUAUUGCAAACACCUGUCGGGGGCCAGCUUAAUGCCAGAGCCCACCAGCGAUUACAGGCUGGGGUACUCAUAGGCCUGGGCAGGAGGGAUCUAGGCAGUAUGGCUUGCUGUCCGGGAAGAUGUUAACGUGUUCCCAGGAUGAGGUGGUUCCGGCAGAAUGUGGUGUUCCUGGCGCUUUGUCCCAGCAGAAUAUGUUAAGAGGCAGGCUGUUUCUCAUGGCUCGAACCCCCGUGGAAUGUUUCACUUUGACCAAGGUCUACAAAAUGGAAAGGGGCUUACAAAAUGACGCAGUUUGGACUAACAAAGGGGAAAAUACAGAGGAUGAAAUUAGACUCUAGAGGUUGAGGCUCAGGAAAGGCUUCAUACAGCUUUGGGAACUGACAAGGCUUUGAAAGCAGGGUCAGUUUUCAGCGAAUGAGCGUCACCCACUGCACCCUGCGCACCCUGCUCCCCUGCUGCGGUGUCUUUCCCACCAGAGUGUAGCAGGACAAGCCGCAGACAAAACCCCUCAGACACCGAGUUAAAGAAGGGCUUUAUUCAGCUGGGAGCUUCGGCAAGACUCACGUCUCCAACAACCGAGCUCCCCGAGUGAGCAAUUCCUGUCCCUUUUAAGGGCUCACAACUCUUCAGGGGUCUGCGUGAGAGGGUCGU